AACGAACGCUGGCGGCAUGCCUAACACAUGCAAGUCGAACGCCCUCUUCGGAGGGAGUGGCGCACGGGUGCGUAACGCGUGGGAACCUGCCCUUAGGUUCGGAAUAACUCAGAGAAAUUUGAGCUAAUACCGGAUAAUGUCUUCGGACCAAAGAUUUAUCGCCUUUGGAUGGGCCCGCGUUGGAUUAGCUAGUUGGUAGGGUAAAGGCCUACCAAGGCGACGAUCCAUAGCUGGUCUUAGAGGAUGAUCAGCCACACUGGGACUGAGACACGGCCCAGACUCCUACGGGGGGCAGCAGUGGGGAAUAUUGGACAAUGGGCGAAAGCCUGAUCCAGCAAUGCCGCGUGAGUGAUGAAGGCCUUAGGGUUGUAAAGCUCUUUUACCAGGGAUGAUAAUGACAGUACCUGGAGAAUAAGCUCCGGCUAACUCCGUGCCAGCCGCCGCCGUAAUAC
rnacentral:rRNA from 1 species